UACGUAGGGACCAAGCGUUGUUCGGAUUUACUGGGCGUAAAGGGCGCGUAGGCGGCGCGAUAAGUUGGGCGUGAAAGGCCCGGGCUCAACCCGGGGACUGCGCUUGAUACUGUCGCGCUGUGAGUCCGGGAGAGGAUGGCGGAAUUCCCAGUGUAGAGGUGAAAUUCGUAGAUAUUGGGAAGAACACCGGUGGCGAAGGCGGCCAUCUGGACCGGCACUGACGCUGAGGCGCGAAAGCGUGGGGAGCAAACAGG
rnacentral:rRNA from 1 species